CACUCGCAACAACCACCAACGAACAACAGAAUAUAAAAAAGUCGUCAUACAACUUCUAUGUUGAACAUCUGAUCAUCAUUUAACCAAUAAAAGUCAAGCCCCCAUAGAUUUUUGCUUGUUUGAUAUUGUGAACCCAGAUGAAAGGCUUACUGAGGGCAUACUUGUGGCGCAUGAAGUUCUACAUAGAUCAUGUAGUGUUGAGCCUGAUGCAUAGAGUUGGUGUGUCAUAGCAUAUAUUAUUUUAUGUGGGACUAGGCCUUUUGGGCCCGAACUAAAUCUUGGAUUUUUCGGGCUGUUUGGAUGCUCAAGCUUUGAUGAAGUUGUUUUAAAUUGCACAUUUGACGUUGUUUUAACAAUCGCAGCAAGGUGAUCCUGUUGAACAACGGUACAAAGAUCACUCAGAAAGAGGAUCAUUGUCAAUCAACUGGUCAAUCGUGUUAAUUAGUUCAAACAAGCUGCUACAUCUGCUGAUCCCAAGUCUUGAUAUCCAUAUAUUCCAGAGGAACAUGGCUGCAGCCUUAAUAUAUGUGGGAUCACAACCACCAUCACCAUUUUUUUAAAUCAUGGCUGCACUCGGGUUUCCCUUUGGUUCAACUGGGCUUGAGCCACGACCGCCACAGCAAAGAACGAUAAUCAUGAUCCAAGACAAGUGCAGCAGCCUCAUAGUUCUCAUGAUCCAAGAAAUUUAUGGUUAAGAAAAAGGUAUAUGAGUAAACAGUUUCUUUUUUUUUUUAAUUUUUAUAGAUCUUUUAAUUUUUUAGUUAUUUUUCAUGCCUGUUGACGUGUAAUGAAAUUGAUUUUGUAGAAUUACUAUAAUACAUUUAUUUUUCUUACAGGAAUCAUUGUAUAAUUUUACAUUGUACUCGCCUACUCGGUUAUAACAAUGAU